rnacentral:rRNA from 1 species
CCUGACUCUGGGAUAAGCGUUGGAAACGACGUCUAAUACUGGAUAUGACUGCCGGCCGCAUGGUCUGGUGGUGGAAAGAUUUUUUGGUUGGGGAUGGACUCGCGGCCUAUCAGCUUGUUGGUGAGGUAAUGGCUCACCAAGGCGACGACGGGUAGCCGGCCUGAGAGGGUGACCGGCCACACUGGGACUGAGACACGGCCCAGACUCCUACGGGAGGCAGCAGUGGGGAAUAUUGCACAAUGGGCGAAAGCCUGAUGCAGCAACGCCGCGUGAGGGAUGACGGCCUUCGGGUUGUAAACCUCUUUUAGUAGGGAAGAAGCGAAAGUGACGGUACCUGCAGAAAAAGCACCGGCUAACUACGUGCCAGCAGCCGCGGUAAUACGUAGGGUGCAAGCGUUGUCCGGAAUUAUUGGGCGUAAAGAGCUCGUAGGCGGUUUGUCGCGUCUGCUGUGAAAUCCCGAGGCUCAACCUCGGGCUUGCAGUGGGUACGGGCAGACUAGAGUGCGGUAGGGGAGAUUGGAAUUCCUGGUGUAGCGGUGGAAUGCGCAGAUAUCAGGAGGAACACCGAUGGCGAAGGCAGAUCUCUGGGCCGUAACUGACGCUGAGGAGCGAAAGCGUGGGGAGCGAACAGGAUUAGAUACCCUGGUAGUCCACGCCGUAAACGUUGGGCGCUAGAUGUAGGGACCUUUCCACGGUUUCUGUGUCGUAGCUAACGCAUUAAGCGCCCCGCCUGGGGAGUACGGCCGCAAGGCUAAAACUCAAAGGAAUUGACGGGGGCCCGCACAAGCGGCGGAGCAUGCGGAUUAAUUCGAUGCAACGCGAAGAACCUUACCAAGGCUUGACAUACACCGGAAACGGCCAGAGAUGGUCGCCCCCUUGUGGUCGGUGUACAGGUGGUGCAUGGUUGUCGUCAGCUCGUGUCGUGAGAUGUUGGGUUAAGUCCCGCAACGAGCGCAACCCUCGUUCUAUGUUGCCAGCGCGUUAUGGCGGGGACUCAUAGGAGACUGCCGGGGUCAACUCGGAGGAAGGUGGGGAUGACGUCAAAUCAUCAUGCCCCUUAUGUCUUGGGCUUCACGCAUGCUACAAUGGCCGGUACAAAGGGCUGCGAUACCGUAAGGUGGAGCGAAUCCCAAAAAGCCGGUCUCAGUUCGGAUUGAGGUCUGCAACUCGACCUCAUGAAGUCGGAGUCGCUAGUAAUCGCAGAUCAGCAACGCUGCGGUGAAUACGUUCCCGGGCCUUGUACACACCGCCCGUCAAGUCAUGAAAGUCGGUAACACCCGAAGCCGGUGGCCUAACCCUUG